UACGGAGGGUGCGAGCGUUAAUCGGAAUUACUGGGCGUAAAGCGCACGCAGGCGGUUUGUUAAGCUAGAUGUGAAAGCCCCGGGCUCAACCUGGGAUGGUCAUUUAGAACUGGCAGACUAGAGUCUUGGAGAGGGGAGUGGAAUUCCAGGUGUAGCGGUGAAAUGCGUAGAUAUCUGGAGGAACAUCAGUGGCGAGGGCGACUCCCUGGCCGAAGACUGACGCUCAUGUGCGAAAGUGUGGGUAGCGAACAGG
rnacentral:rRNA from 1 species